UACGAAGGGUGCAAGCGUUACUCGGAAUUACUGGGCGUAAAGCGUGCGUAGGUGGUUCGUUAAGUCUGAUGUGAAAGCCCCGGGCUCAACCUGGGAAUGGCAUUGGAAACUGGCGAUCUGGAGUGCGGUAGAGGGUAGUGGAAUUCCCGGUGUAGCAGUGAAAUGCGUAGAGAUCGGGAGGAACAUCUGUGGCGAAGGCGACUACCUGGACCAGCACUGACACUGAGGCACGAAAGCGUGGGGAGCAAACAGG
rnacentral:rRNA from 1 species